CCUACGGGGGGCAGCAGUGAGGAAUAUUGGUCAAUGGGCGUAAGCCUGAACCAGCCAAGUCGCGUGAGGGAUGAAGGUUCUAUGGAUCGUAAACCUCUUUUAUAAGGGAAUAAAGUGCGGGACGUGUCCCGUUUUGUAUGUACCUUAUGAAUAAGGAUCGGCUAACUCCGUGCCAGCAGCCGCGGUAAUCCGGAGGAUCCGAGCGUUAUCCGGAUUUAUUGGGGUAAAGGGGUGCGUAGGCGGGUUAUAAAGUCAGCGGGAAAAGCGUGGAGCUAAAUUCGAUCCAGCCGGUGAAACGGAUGAUCUAGAGGGGGCGAGAAGUAUGCGGAAUGCGUGGUGUAGCGGUGAAAUGCAUAGAGAUCACGAAGAACUCCGAUUGCGAAGGCAGCAUACCGGCGUACGACUGACGCUGAAGCACGAAAGCGUGGGGAUCGAACAGGAUUAGAUACCCGUGUAGUC
rnacentral:rRNA from 1 species